rnacentral:rRNA from 1 species
AGGACGAACGCUGGCGGCGUGCUUAACACAUGCAAGUCGAACGGAAAGGCCCGCUUGCGGGUACUCGAGUGGCGAACGGGUGAGUAACACGUGGGCAACCUGCCCUCAGCUUCGGGAUAACACUUGGAAACAGGUGCUAAUACCGGAUAAUAACCUUUCAUCGCAUGGUGGUUGGUUCAAAGUUUUCGGCUGAGGAUGGGCCCGCGGCCUAUCAGCUUGUUGGUGGGGUAAUGGCCUACCAAGGCGACGACGGGUA